AAAAACACACUCUCUUUCUACACACACACACACACACACACACACACACACACACACACACACACACACACACACACACACACACACACACACACACACACACACACACACACACACACACACACACACACACACACACAAACACACACACACACACACACACACACACACACACACACACACACACACACACACACACACACACACAAACACACACACAAACACACACACACACACACACACACACACACACACACACACACACACACACACACACACACACACACACACACACACAUACACACACCCACACACACACACACACACACACACACAGACACACAUGCACACACACACGCACACACACACACAAACACAAGUAACGUGGUAAAACAAGUGCAAGGUGCGUUGAAAACACCAGGGUUCUAUCUUUAUGUCCGAUACUGUACCAAGGUGGAUGAAAAAUAUCAGGUACUGGAUUAGGGCCUUUUGGGGGUCGCCAUAGUUGAGGGACUUUACGUCAUUUUAGAACCGUUAACCAUUGGUUUCCGCACACAAAGCUUAGCAAAUAGAACAGAUUUCUUAGUUAUUAUGUGCAUUUUUGUGUGUCUAUUUGUUAUAUCGAAAAAAAUGAGAUAUAUUAACAAAAAAUUUGAUGAUUUGUUUAUUUCAUUUCAUUUCAUUUCAUUUCAUUUCAUUUAUUUAAUACAAUAUCCGCCAUCAAGGCUAAAUAUAAUAGACUUAAAACUAAUUUAAUACUAACAAAUAAACAAAAUAAUUCAUGAAAAACUAAGCCUAACUAACCUAGUCUUGACCUAGCAAAAAAGAAAAGAAAAAAACAAGGGUAGAGCGUAGAGACUAUCAUAAACUUAACAAAAAAAAAAAGAGAGUAAUAGAAAACUAAGGAGAAUAAUUAAAGGGAAUUAGAAGAAAAAAUACGGUUACGGAAAGAGUUAAGAGAGGAGUCGAAAUCAAAGAGAUAGUAAAAGUGGUUAAACAACCUGAAACAGGACAGAAGAGGGUCAUUGAAAGUAUAAAGAGUAUGACGUGUUUCAAUUGACAGAGGAUCACGUGGACGAAGAGAACGAGAGGGAACAUACAGCGAGAUGGACGAGAGUAAAUCAGGAGCAUCAGUAUCAGAAAGUAAUAAGCCACCGAUAAAACAUGCCUGAGACACUUGGCGGCGGAAGCUUAAAGAGUGAAGAUUGAAUAACUGCAAUCGCGUUUCAUAGGGAGGUAGUGAGGCAGCACCGAACAAACGACGAAAAGCAACCCUGAAUGCUUUCAAUUCUCGAACAGUCAUCAAUAGUAGGAGGAUUUCAGAUGAUGCUAGCAUAUUCAAGAAGAGGCCUUACCAGAGCACAAUAAAGGUUUCUUAAGAAGCUUUGAUCUCUAAAAAUAGAGAUAAAACGUAAAAUAAACCCAAGAGUUCGAUUAGCUUUUAGUAGAACCUCAUCAAGCUGCAGUUUAAAGUUAAGACGACUGUCGAGUAUAAUACCAAGGUCACGGAUGGACAAAAGACGAGAGAGAGACGAGUUAGAGAGAGUAUAGUUAAAUGAAAUAGGAGAAAGAGAGUGAGAGAAAGAAAUAACAGAACAUUUUUCAGGGCACAAGCGAAGUAAGUUGGAUGAACACCAAUGAACAAAUGCAUUGAGGUAAUGCUGAAGUAUCAUACAAUCAUAAGAAGAAGACACAGGUAAAAAGAUUUUGAUAUCAUCCGCAUAAAGGAGAUGACCAUCAGGAGGUAAUACAUUACAGACAUCAUUGAUGAACAAAGAAAACAGAAGUGGACUUAGCACACAACCCUGAGGGACACCUGACGUACAAAAAAACUCCUCAGAUAAGUACGACCCGGUUUUAACCCUGCAUUAUCGAUUACUUAAAUAUGAGGACAGCCAGCUAAUAAUGCCAUCACCAAAACCAAGUUUAGAUAGUUUAGCUAAUAGUAAAGAGUGAGGUAAACUAUCAAAUGCAGCAUGAAAGUCAGUGAAUAGUGCAUCAAGUUGGGUACCGAUCUCAAAAGAUCUAAAAAUAUUGGACACAAAAGACACGAGAUUAGUUGAAGUAGACCUACCAGGCAUAAACCCAUGCUGUUUAGGGCUAAUAGCGGAACUACAACUAUGAGGUAUGGUUGCAAAGAUACAUAGCUCAAAAGUUUUGGCUGUGGUACACGAUAAAUAGAGACAAUGCUACGGCAUCCCUUUUUGUGUACCGGAAAAAGCCAACAGGAUUUCCAAAGAGCAGAAAAGACCCCGAGAGAGAGUGAAAGGUUGAAAAUUUUAGCAAGGUGUGGAGCAAGCACGUCCUUACAGUUUAUUAAAACUGAGGCAGGAAUGCCAUCUGGACCAGGAGUAAAAGAACGUUUCAACCCAAAAAACACCUGUACAACUGUUUCAGAGCUAACCGAAAUAUCGGAGAGAUUAAUUAAGUUCUCUGGCGUGUAGAGUAGCCCACCCUCAAUAAGGUUAGGGUCACUAACCGGUGGCUCAAACAUUUGGGAAAAAUGAGCAGAGAAGAGUUCACAAAUCUCAACAGGAGUAGAGGCAGUUAGAGAAUCAAGUACCAUUUCGUUAGGUUACGUAUUGCACCCUUUUCGUACCCUAACAAAUUGCCAGAAGGAUGCUGGAUCAGAACGGAAACGCGAUUGCAGUCUACUCGAAUAGGCCUCAAAACGAGCCCUGUUGUAUAGUCGAUGCGCAGAGGCAGCGUACUUAAAUAAACGAAAGUUGAAAGCAGAUCGGUUCAGACGAUACCUCCUAAGAUAUUUCAUUCUAUCCUUUUUCAGGAAAAAGGAAUAGAAUGAAAUAUCUCUUUUUUGAAAUAUCUUCUUUUUUGCGAAGAGUACGAUUGGACCAGGGAGGAUUAGGAGGGGAACGAAAAAUAGGUGUACAUGAAAGGAGUGCAGAGGUUAACAAAGCAUUAAACGAUUGGACAGCCUCGUCGACCGAUGUACAUUGAUAAAAAAAGACCAGUCGGAACGAGAUAGAAUUGAGUUAAGUUUACGAUAGUCUGUGAGCCGAAAAUUAUAACGAACACUCAAUGAAUUAGGAGCAGAAGGUAAUACAUUCAUAACCCUACUAGCCCUAAAUAAAGAAGACGGUAACGCAAUUUCUAGAGCAGGAUGAUGGGCAUCCUGGGGCAGGAGCAGUGACGAAGCAGGAUACACAGAACAACAAGCAGCUGCAGCAGAGUUGGAGAGCACCAGGUCCAAAUAAUGAUUUAAAUGGUUAUGCACCCCGUUCAGCUGAUAGAGUUCAGGUUUAACAUAUCCAAAAAGCAGGAACUGGAUGUAUUCGAAGAAAUAUGUGGCACAUAAUGUCUUAUAGCUGAAGAUGAAUCUGGCCUUACUGCGGUAGAAAGCGACCACUCUAACGCAGGUUGAUUGAAGUCACCCAGAAGGAUAAGAUGAUCAUUCGGUUUCAUUUGCAUGUAUGCAUCACUGAUGAAAGCAGAAAGGGAUUCCAAAUAGUUGCGGUCGCUGCUCAAAUACGGUGGCACAUAAACAAUCCCCUCAUAAAGACGAAACUUAGAAAAAGAAACACGUAUACAUAAAGCUUCAAGCGUGGGUUGAUUAAUGUUUAUGCACGAAAUUUAAAAUCAUGUGAGUAAGAAUUAUUAUCUCACGUAAAUUGUCCAUGCGGCUCGUAGAUAAAGAGGAAAUAAUAUGAAAAUUGAAAAUAAAAAAUGAUUUCUUAGUUUUUACCAUCAAAAAUGUCGAAAACAUAAUGAAUUAUAGAAUAAAUUCGAGGAAUAACACAAAAUAACACACUUUAAUCGAUGUUUUAAUGUUAAAUAAGAACCUGCAAAGUCCAAAAUAAAGUUUUAAAGUAUAUUCAAUCAAAAAAAUGAAGUAGAUAAAUUACAUGAACAAAUUUAAUAAAUGUAAACAAAGUUUGAAUCAUGGGGACCUUACGUCAAGUGACGAAUUGUCAAAAUGCACUCGAGUCCACCACCUGAUAUUUUUAAAUCCACCUUGGUUGGUACUCUGCGGCUGCUGUCACUGAAGAGGUUAGGUUGUGUGUGUAAUGAAAUGUAAACAGUGUUGUUGGCUGAUCAAGUGUGAUAUAAUGCAGAAACGAUAUGGGCCUGCCGCAGGUGUUUGCGACUGUGUGUUGCGUUGUGUAUGUUUGGCCAAUUUUCCUCUAUCCUGGAACAUGGGCUAACGAGGAACCAUUUAAGAACAUCCUCCGGAAGCUGUCCGGCGACGAGGCGAGCUCUACUAGCACAACACGCUAGAAGCCCAGCUGGCACCGGGUGCCCCGAUUGCGUCGUUGGACGGUGUCUAGCGCUCGUUCACAACGUUCGGGACAGGAAUUCAACCCUUCGGAUUAUUAUCCUCUGUCUCACAAUAGCUGCAGCAACAACAUGGCCGAACCGAUCGCACUACUGAUUGUGGUCAAAUUUCCUGGCAGGAGAAAAAAUCCACAAGCGACAAACACUCAUCUUCAGUGGUAAAUUGCUAACAUGAACCCACUUCUGCACAUCUACACGACAUCACGUUAAUAGUGUUAUUGUGUGAAUUGGAAAUAAAACUUGAUGUUAACGAGUUAAGUUUAA